rnacentral:rRNA from 1 species
UACGGAGGGUGCGAGCGUUGUCCGGAAUUACUGGGCGUAAAGAGCUCGUAGGUGGUUUGUCGCGUUGUUCGUGAAAACUCACAGCUCAACUGUGGGCGUGCGGGCGAUACGGGCAGACUGGAGUACUGCAGGGGAGACUGGAAUUCCUGGUGUAGCGGUGGAAUGCGCAGAUAUCAGGAGGAACACCGGUGGCGAAGGCGGGUCUCUGGGCAGUAACUGACGCUGAGGAGCGAAAGCGUGGGGAGCGAACAGG